AAAACCCGCAUCAUGUGGGAAUAAAUCAGGCUGUGUGUGAUAAAAUACCCGGAAAACAAUGGCGUAAACCAGAGCAGGAGCCGGGGCCCAGCUGUGGCAGGACAUCCACACGUGCCUACGGGAUGCUUCCAGGUCCCCUUCCAGUCAAGCAGAAGCCCAGGACACAUGGCUGCAGCUCGACCAGUGCGUGGGGAAAAUGAGCCCCCCUUCUUCACAGGUUCCCCAACACCUCAGAAGUCCAGGAAGACACAGUGAUGAUUCACAUGUUUUGCCAAAGAGGGAGGAUUUCAUGGAGUCUCCAAAUGAUCACGAUAGCAUCCCAGCCAUUAGGGAUACUAAGCCAAGCACUGAAGCUGGCAGAGAAGCCCUCAUCUUUGAGAGGAGUAGGAAGCAAAACAUAUACUCUAUGUCUAGAAUUAGAAUCCAUACUGGAACGCUGCUCCUAUACAUCAAUCCGAACCCCAGCCUCCUCCCCCCACUCACUAGAGGCAGGACGGUGUGGGUUCAGCCUCAGCUCAGGUACUCACUAGCCAGAAGACCAGAAAGCGCCUACCUCCCUGAGCACCAAUCUCUUAAUCUAGAACAUGAAGGUCACAUCCUUCUCCUGCCUCCGUCCCCAAAGUGAGCUAAGCUCAGAAGAACCAAGCCCAAGCAAGUAUUUAGAAAAUUGAUCCACUGAACAGUUCUUCCAUUGCAAGUCAGAUUCUUCAACGAAUUCUUUAAUUGAACUAUUUGUUAACUAAUAUCAUGUGUUGGCUUUUGGUUUUACUAUGUUUUAGUACAAAUAUCCAGGGACAAACUCUUCAGCUGAAUACAUCUGAGAAGUAAACUGUUCAAUUGCUUCUGUAUUUUUCUCUAUCCUGGUUAAGACAUCUUGAGAGGUGAAGCCAGCUGGGCUUUUGGGUUGGGGGAACUUGGAGAACUUUUCUGUCUAGCUAAAGGAUUGUAAAUGCACCAAUCAGCAUUCUGUAAAAUGGGCCAAUCAGCACUCUGUAAAA